rnacentral:rRNA from 1 species
UACGAGGGGUGCAAGCGUUGCUCGGAAUUAUUGGGCGUAAAGGGUAGGUAGGUGGUCUCAUUUGUCUGGGGUGAAAGCCUUGGGCUCAACCCAAGAAGUGCCCCAGAAACGGUGAGACUAGAGUCCUGGAGAGGGUCGUGGAAUUCCCGGUGUAGCGGUGAAAUGCGCAGAUAUCGGGAGGAACACCGGUGGCGAAGGCGGUUCUCUGGGCCUGACCUGACGCUGAGGAGCGAAAGCGUGGGGAGCGAACAGG